GGCGGGGUAACGGCCCACCGUGGCGACGAUGUCUAGGGGUUCUGAGAGGAAGGUCCCCCACACUGGAACUGAGACACGGUCCAGACUCCUACGGGAGGCAGCAGUGAGGAAUAUUGGUCAAUGGACGCAAGUCUGAACCAGCCAAGUAGCGUGCAGGAUGACGGCCCUCCGGGUUGUAAACUGCUUUUAGUUGGGAAUAAAAGGGGGCUCGUGAGCCCCGUAUUGUAUGUACCAUCAGAAAAAGGACCGGCUAAUUCCGUGCCAGCAGCCGCGGUAAUACGGAAGGUCCGGGCGUUAUCCGGAUUUAUUGGGUUUAAAGGGAGCGUAGGCCGGCUUUUAAGUCAGCUGUGAAAGUCCGCGGCUCAACCGUGGAAUUGCAGUUGAAACUGGAGGCCUUGAGUGCACACAGGGAUGCCGGAAUUCAUGGUGUAGCGGUGAAAUGCUUAGAUAUCAUGAAGAACUCCGAUCGCGAAGGCAAGUGUCCGGGGUGCAACUGACGCUGAGGCUCGAAAGUGCGGGUAUCAAACAGGAUUAGAUACCCUGGUAGUCCGCACCGUAAACGAUGAAUACUCGUGUCCCGCGAUAUAUUGUGGGACACUUAGCGAAAGCGUUAAGUAUUCCACCUGGGGAGUACGCC
rnacentral:rRNA from 1 species